rnacentral:rRNA from 1 species
CUACGGGGCGCACCAGUGAGGAAUAUUGCGCAAUGGGGGAAACCCUGACGCAGCGACGCCGCGUGGAUGAUGAAGGCCUUCGGGUCGUAAAAUCCUGUCAGAAGGAAAGAAGUGUAUGGUAGCUAAUAUCUGCCAUACUUGACGGUACCUUCAAAGGAAGCACCGGCUAACUCCGUGCCAGCAGCCGCGGUAAUACGGAGGGUGCAAGCGUUGUUCGGAAUUACUGGGCGUAAAGCGCGCGUAGGCGGUUUUAUAAGCCAGAUGGGAAAGUCCACGGCUCAACCAUGGAAGUGCAUUUGAAACUGUCAGACUUGAGUAUUGGGGGGGGUAGGGGAAUUCCCGGUGUAGAGGUGAAAUUCUUAGAUAUCGGGAGGAAUACCGGUGGCGAAGGCGACUAUCUGGCCAAAUACUGACGCUGAGGUGCGAAAGCGUGGGGAGCAAACAGGAUUAGAUACCCCCGUAGUC